rnacentral:rRNA from 1 species
UACGUAGGGUGCAAGCGUUGCUCGGAAUUAUUGGGCGUAAAGAGCUCGUAGGCGGUCUGUCGCGUCUGCUGUGAAAACUCGGGGCUUAACCCCGGGCCUGCAGUGGGUACGGGCAGACUAGAGUGCGGUAGGGGAGACUGGAAUUCCUGGUGUAGCGGUGAAAUGCGCAGAUAUCAGGAGGAACACCGGUGGCGAAGGCGGGUCUCUGGGCCGUAACUGACGCUGAGGAGCGAAAGCAUGGGGAGCGAACAGG